UGCAAGUCGAGCGGGCGUAGCAAUACGUCAGCGGCAGACGGGUGAGUAACGCGUGGGAACGUACCUUUUGGUUCGGAACAACACAGGGAAACUUGUGCUAAUACCGGAUAAGCCCUUACGGGGAAAGAUUUAUCGCCGAAAGAUCGGCCCGCGUCUGAUUAGCUAGUUGGUAGGGUAACGGCCUACCAAGGCGACGAUCAGUAGCUGGUCUGAGAGGAUGAUCAGCCACAUUGGGACUGAGACACGGCCCAAACUCCUACGGGAGGCAGCAGUGGGGAAUAUUGGACAAUGGGGGCAACCCUGAUCCAGCCAUGCCGCGUGAGUGAUGAAGGCCCUAGGGUUGUAAAGCUCUUUUGUGCGGGAAGAUAAUGACGGUACCGCAAGAAUAAGCCCCGGCUAACUUCGUGCCAGCAGCCGCGGUAAUACGAAGGGGGCUAGCGUUGCUCGGAAUCACUGGGCGUAAAGGGUGCGUAGGCGGGUCUUUAAGUCAGGGGUGAAAUCCUGGAGCUCAACUCCAGAACUGCCUUUGAUACUGAAGAUCUUGAGUUCGGGAGAGGUGAGUGGAACUGCGAGUGUAGAGGUGAAAUUCGUAGAUAUUCGCAAGAACACCAGUGGCGAAGGCGGCUCACUGGCC
rnacentral:rRNA from 1 species